rnacentral:lncRNA from 1 species
UGUCCUAGAAACAACCAUAUGCUGGAGAAUGGAAUUCCAUAAGGCACUCUCUUAGAUAAAGGAAGUGCCAUCCAUCCUGUUGCCAUCUGCUAAAAUCCUCAGCCCACCUGCAUAGUGAACACCAUUCAUUGUUUUCCAGAAAUGUGCAAGAACCACAGUCUCCCCCAAGACUGAAGAUCUGCUUCAUCGACAUGGCAGGGAACAUGGCUGCACACAGAGGACUCAUUUUUGCAGCUUCCCUACCAGAGAGAGAGAGAUACCCUUUUUAACUGAGUUCUGAGUUGAAAUAUCCUAGAAGAGAACUCUGAUUGGCCUGGCUUGGGUCACAUGCCCGUCCUUGAGUUGAUCAACUGUGAUUAGUUAUAAGUGUACUCAUUAGUAACUUCCCCUGGAACCUUAGAUUUCAUGUGGGGUAAGACUUCCAAAAACAAAUAAAAAAAUAAAACAAAAGAAUGCUA